rnacentral:tRNA from 3 species
UACAUUUUGGUGUAUGGUGCACAAAAGUUUUUGAUAUUUUAGGUAAUAGUUUAAUUCUAUUAAAUGUAA